UUUUGGAAGAUUUGAUAAAGUAGACAGGCUUUAUCCUGUAUAGGAUUUAGAUGAAUUGGAAACAGUGGGUGAGAUGUUCUGCAUACAAGUUCAGCUUUGACAAAAUUAUAUGAAUAGUGAGGGUAAGUGCUAAUUUGCCCAAUAUUGAUGUCUUACAGGAUGAACUCCCAAAGGGAUAGAGAUGACCUCAUAAAGUGAAGAAUCUUUUGUGAGUUGGAAACAUGCCAUGGAAAAUAUACAAGUAUUUUGGACACAUCCAACCAGGGGCCGUACUGAAGUAUAUUAAUGCUUUGAAGGCUUGAGAAUUCACAGAUGGUACAAAUUUGGAUUGAAAGCCCAUGUAUGAACUGGCUCUCAGAGAACUCCAAUCCCAGCGUCCACCGUCUUCCACACGCCACUCCUGACACCUGCUGUAUCACGUAACAAGAAGAGAAAUACGGCGUGUACCGGCUUGUGGUAGUCACAGCAGCUCCGAGUUCGGUCCUCCCCGCAGGAGGUCUUUCCGGGCUGUUGGGCGGGGCCAGGUGCCGCCAGCACCGACUUCCGGCUUCACGUCGUAGACCGAGCUCCCAAAUAUGGUUGCCGCCAGUGUCUGUGUCCCAGGGUGAGCUGCCGCUGCUCUGGCCUCUCCAGGAAGUUCUUCAAGACCAUCAGGCUCGCAGGCCUGCAGAGCGCAGCCCAACAAGACGGCGCCAGGAGCGGAGCACAAACUGUGAACCGCGCUACCAGCCAGUCCGAAGUCUCCUUCAUGCCGCUCCAAAUCUCCACUCCAAACACCAAAGGAAAAUGGAGUACUUCUCCCUGUUCCUCCAUUGACUACAACUGGAAACCUUGGACAUACAUAUAAAACAAACAAAAAGGACUUUGAAAGGUACAGAGAAGUCAGGCAGCCUAGGAACAUCAGGAACCAAGACGUGACACCAUGGCAAGAGGAUUAAGAUUAUCCAGACUCUUCCAAGCAGCUUUCAUUUUUCCUUUUAAUCAUCUAAUGAAGAAGUAUAUAUUGGAUGCCUACUUGGUGCCGAACACACAAGGCAUUUGAGAUCAAAUGAUCAAUGUCUCCACUAAUUUGUGAGACCGUAUGGAAGUACCUCCCUCAUGAUGCCUGCCUGGAUCCUACGCAGCUUAAGAAAACAAAACCAAACCUCUCACUCCUCCCAAACACUGUAAUUCUAUUUGUUUAUUACUUUUAGCCUUAUUUGACAGGGUUUUUGGAAGGUUAUUUUGUAUCUGUUUUAGAUUAUAAGGACAGAGGAAACACUAACCUACCACAGAGGUUAUAACAGCAGGAAGGGGUUGCUGUCCUUAGGGCUGGGCAACGGAAAGGAAGCUUGAAGGUGUGCCUACUGAAACUGAGACCUUUGAACAGGGAUUACUUCGUGGCUAUUAUUAAUAUUUCUGAGCUCAGAAAUGGGGCCCUGUGAAACUGCGACCCAGACCUCUGAGGAAGGGAUUCUAGACAGCUGGUGUCUCUCAUGAGGUUGGUUCAGCUAAUGUUGAAAAAAGUGUAGUUUGGUGCAGCCAUUAUGGAAGACAGUAUGGAGAUUCCUCAAAAGACUGAAAGUAGACUUACCUUACAAUCCAGCAAUCCCACUCCUGGGCAUUUAUCCAGAGGGAACCUUAAU